GUCUGAUCAUCUUCGACUUGUGGUCAGUGAUUUUGCAUAUAAUUUGUCAAGUCUCUCUUUGGCUAGUGGUCAGUGACUUUGCAUAUAAUUUGUCAAGUCUCUCUUUGGCUAGUGGUUGGUGAUUUUGACAUUAUUUUGUCCGUCCCUCUUCGACUUAUUGAGUUUUAAUUCUCCCUUUAUCUUCAACCUAAUUUGUUUUACGAUCAUGACAGUUAUCUCAUAUAUAUCUCUCAACAAUUUUAUAUAGGUGUAUAUUUCAUUUUUUUUUAAGGAAUUCUUUGUACAAAAUCUGAAUAUGCUCAAUAUUUGAUCAGUCCUAAAGAAAAACUUAUCAAAUAAUAUAUUUUAAUCAUUGCUGAGGGUUGUGAAGCCAGAAAUUAUAGAAAAAUAUUUAUCUCCAAAUUGCAUUUUUCAAUCUGUAAUUGCACAAAACAAAUUAAAAGUAAACUAAGGCAGCAACCAUUUGAUUUUCUGGGGGGCUAUGGAUUUUUUUGGAAAAAAAAGUUUGUUUCCAGUUUUGGAGAAAAAAAUAAUUUGUUGUUGACCCGAGAAAAAAAAAUUGUUUGUUUCGCCCUUAGCUGCCACUAUAUGUAAUGCUAUAAUUGAAAGAAAAAAAUUGUUGUCGACUUGUCGCCAAAAAAAAAUAUGUUCUUCCCAAGGCGAAAAAACAAAGUUUGUCCAGAAAAAAAAUCCAUAGCCCCCCCAGAAAAUCAAAUGGUUGCUGCCUAACUGUUCAUUAAAUUUUGAAAAUUAAUAAAAAAUUGCAUAAAAAUAAGUUUCACAACUCUCAGUAAAAUUUUAAAU
rnacentral:lncRNA from 1 species